rnacentral:lncRNA from 1 species
CUACGUAUCUGUCCUCUUGAUAACCCCACCCGGGGGAGGGGUUGAGAAAACAAAACCAUACAAAACUUAGAUAUGCACAUUUAACAAGAUUUACAUCGUAUCCGAUCCGAUUUACAAUAACCUUUACAAAAAAUCUAAAGCUGAUAUCAAUGAUGGGGAAAAACCAACAAUGGGAACAAUGAUUUUGUUUUGAUUCCAUUACUUACCAACAUAAACAUAUGUAGAUCCACAAUUUUGGUAACCAGAUUUGUACUAGCUACUUCUUUUUCUCCUUUCGAUAAAGCAGCCGUAUAACUUUAAG